UAUAUUGAGAAUGCGGAAAAACUGUAUUUAAAUCAAUUGUUCAUUUCAUACUUUAGUUACCAUAGACCUAUUGUUUCAGUUUUAGAAUUUGAUGAAAAUCUUGAUAAUAAUGAUGAAAAUGCUGGUUUAGUCGAUAUAAUUGGAAGACAUAUUUUGCCAUCCCCUAAUUGUCAGUUGAUAUUUGUUUACAUUUUAAAAAAGAAUGGAGAAAAAACAAAAGUACAAAAAAAGAAAUUCCUGGAGUGAGAGGGAGGAAGCGCUUCUAAUUAAAUUGUGGGAAAAUAAAGUGUGUGCUCUUCGCGGGCCCAGAAAAAAUAGCCACAUUUUAGAAGAAAUGGCAGUGGAGUUGAAGCGACAAGGAAGGAGAAAACAGCAGUCGGUUCAACUGGCGGUUCCCCCUAGAAUUGGCAUUUAUACCAGAAAAUGAGCGCCGUAUUGUCCCCAUAUGUUAGCUACAACACUUAGAGUUUAGUGGAAGAAAGCUUCUAUAGUUCUACAAAUUCCGAACCAAUGCAAAUUUCGGUGAAAACGGUUGCGACACCUUCAUUUGUUGCUGAAUCUCCAUUGCCAUCACCGGUUUGCGUACCUUCGCCCACAGAGAUAAUCAUGUCGCCAACCGAGCCUUCAUCAU